rnacentral:pre_miRNA from 1 species
UGGAAGACUGGUGAUUUUGUUGUUUGAGCUCAUCCAUAACAGCAAAUCCGUAGUCUCCACC